UACGAAGGGUGCAAACGUUGCUCGGAAUUAUUGGGCGUAAAGCGCACGUAGGCGGCUAUCUAAGUCGGAUGUGAAAUCCCUCGGCUUAACCAAGGAAGUGCACCCGAAACUGGAUAGCUUGAGUACAGAAGAGGAUCGCGGAAUUCCCGGUGUAGAGGUGAAAUUCGUAGAUAUCGGGAGGAACACCAGUGGCGAAGGCGGCGAUCUGGGCUGAUACUGACGCUGAGGUGCGAAAGCGUGGGGAACAAACAGG
rnacentral:rRNA from 1 species